rfam:Schistosoma mansoni strain Puerto Rico chromosome 1, complete genome
GCACUGCUGAGGAGUCCCAUAAUAGGACGAAACGGCUUUCCAGUGC